CGCCCAAACCCUUUCAUUUCUCUCUUUCUCAAACCCUAUCCGUUCGUGGUCAUGUGAAUUAGGUUGUCCAUCGUCCGUCCGUCUCCGCCACGUUUGGGUCUCUCCUUGGCCGUUAGUCUUAGUCGUUGUCCAUCCGUCAGUCUCCUUCAGUUUCCGUGGGUCUCUAUCAAUCUUCAACAACACAGAUCUAUAGUCGUGGGUCUCUGUCGUCCGUAGAUCUGUAGUUGUCCAUCCGUCCAGCUUUUCCGUAAAAAAUUCAGAACCCCAGGGAAUUCUCGUUCAAGAAAGCUAGGGAGGUUACAAGACUUGGCAAGGCAUAGGUAUUGUUCUGGCAGAAUUUUUCAGGUGUCUUAACUACCCAAUUAUAUUGCAUUUUUCAGGUGACAUUCAUAGAGGAGUAGAUCUCAUUCUUUCACUUCUUAACAAAUGUAUGCGCUACAGUUGGAGGUAAUUUACAAGAGUUACUUGAAAGAAAGAGAGAGAGUUUGGUAGAUUGUAGUUCAUGGAGUUGAAUAUGCUUUUGGACUAUAAAAUUGACAACUCACAAGCCUUCUAGGUAACAUCCAAGAUAGACUUGCUCAGUGUGCACUAUUCUUUUUUAAAACA